rnacentral:tRNA from 1 species
GCCUGGGUGGCUCAGUUGGUUAAGCGUCUGACUUCGGCUCAGGUCAUGAUCUCACAGUUUGUGGGUUCCAGCCCCAUGUCGGGCU